UAAAAUAUAUUGUUGUUGUUAUUUUACAUUUUAUAUCCCGCUCUUCCUCCAAGGAGUCCAGAGUGGUGUACUACAUACUUAGGUUUCUCCUCACAACAACCCUGUGAAGCAGGUUAGGCGGAGAGAGAAGCGACUGGCCCAGAGUCAUCCAGCUAGUCUCAUGGCUGAAUGGGGAUUUGAACUCGGGUCUCCCCGGUCCUAGUCCAGCACUCUAACCACUGCACCACGCUGGCUCUUGCUCUCCUGCCUGAUUUCCCCCUCAGAGUAUCUGACAGAAGUAGAGCAAACACAGUGAGGAAGGAUUGGAGGCCCCCUAACUGAGGAGCAAGGAGCUCCCGCUUCCCGCCUCAUGAGGCACAGAGUUUGGCACCAACACAAUGGCGGCACUGAGGCUAGGCUGCUCCCAGGUGCAAGCAAAACGGAGCUCCCAGUCCACCCUUUUUUUCUCCUCAGCAAUGAGCAAUCCCACCCUCCUCACUCCAAGAGCAGAGAACCUGAAGGGACCCACACAAGUGAGAAAUGCCUUUCUUGCAGGCUCAAGGGUCUCCUCUCGCUCUCUCUCGCUCUCUGGGGCAUGUGGAGAAACUAUUCUCAGGCGUUUCCCCCCUUGGGAAGAACCCCGAAAUUCUCUUCAGAUUUCAGUCUCCCCUCAGGAGCCGCUCCGAAAGCCCUCCCAGUUUCUGCUUCCGUUUGGAGGAACUCUGGAAUUCUCUUUCAGAUUUCAUUUUGAAGAUAUUUCCAUCCCAGUCUUUUCUCUUUUUUUAAAUGGAGUGUGCAACCAGCGCCCCAAUAAUGGGAGGAAAGCUGGUCUUGUGGUGGCAAGCAUGACUUGUCCCCCUUUGCUAAGCAGGGUCUGCCCUGGUUUGCAUUUGAAUGGGAGACCACAUGUGUGAGCACUGGAAGAUAUUCCCCUCAGGGGAUGGAUUGGAGCCGCUGUGGGAAGAGCAAAAGGAUCCAAGUUCCCUCCCUGGCAGCAUCUCCAAGAGAGGGCUGAGAGAGAUUCCUGCCUGCAAUCUUGCAGAAGCCGCUGCCAGCCUGUGGAGAUAAUGCUGAGCUAGAUAGACCAAGGGUCUGACUCCGUAUAAAGCAGCUUCCUGUGUUCCUAAUCUUGCUUCCUUGAGGUUUAGCCCUUUGCCUGUUUUGGAGAGGGCACACAUCAGGAGCCUGGGGAACUGCUGGACUUUAGACCAAGUGUAAUUCUGACAAGAGGAAAGUUGCUCUGUAGAAGUCCCAAAGCAAAACCUGGGAGGACAUUGACACUCAUUUCUCCUCAGACAUAUUGUCAGGGAAUGGCACGCUCUCCAAGAAGUGCCCAAGAGUACAUAACCUAGCUGGGGUAGUGGGUACCAUUUAGAAGGAUGAAUGAUCGUUCUGAUUUUUGAGAAGGCCUACAUUCCUAGAAAUGGAAAAUAGGUGAUAGUAUUGCAGUACUACUUCUACUUAUAUAUCACCUUUCAACAAAGGUUUGCAAAGCGGUUUACACAGAAAAAUAAACAAUGAAUAAAUAAGAUGGUCCCCUGUUGUGUUUCCCAGACUAUGGGAAACUCCUAUAUCGGGCAGCAGCAAUAUAGGAAGGUGCUGAAAGGCAUCAUCUCAGACUGCAAAGGAGGCGGCAAUGGUAAACCAAGAAAACCACAUGGCUCUGUGGUCACUAGGAGUUGACAUCGACUCAACAGCACAAGCUUUCCUUUCCUUUCCCCAAACACUCACAAUCUGAAAAGAAACAUAAGACAGACACCAGCAACAACCACUGGAGGGAUGCUGUGCUGGGGACGGAUAGGGCCAGUUGCUCUCCCCCUGCUAAAUAUAAGAGAAUCGCCACUUUGAAAGGUGCCUCUCUGCUCAGUUAGCAGGGCAGACUCUCAGCUUUCAUUACCCUGACCAUCGGGCCUGCAGCGGCCACAUUUACAAUGGUGCUUUAAAAGCUGUGAAGUUUUAUUUAUUUCUAUUAUUUAUUUAGCAUAUUUAUAUACCACCCAAAAGUUCACAUCUCUUUACAGCAAAACAGAUUUAAAAACAAAGUAAAAGCAUUAAAUCAAUCUAAAACAAUGAUAGAUUCUUCACAUUAAUUAAAAGCCUAAUUAAACUUUUUUAAAAAUUAAAACACAAAAACGACUAUAAAAUUUCAUUGAAGUUGUCAGAAGAAUGGAAAUGGGUAGCAGGAAUAUCCUCCAAAAAUUACUCUAGGGAGAGAGAACAACAAGUUGUUCAGUAUUAUCCAAACCCUGCUGUAACCCUGACCAGUGUUCCCUCUAACAGGGAUUCCCAGAGUUUUUGGCUAAAGUAAAGUAGAAGUAAAGUGCGCCGUUGAGUUGGUGUCGGCUCCUGGUGACCACAGAGCCCUGUGGUUGUCUUAAAAAUAGAACUCCCAUAAUCUACAAGCAAAAGCUAUUGCAGUUGGGGAUUCUGGGAGUUGUAGUCAACAACAUCUGGGAAUCCCUUGUCCCCUCUAACAGAGAUUCCCAGAUGUUAUUGACUGCAACUUCCAGCAUCCCCAGCUGCAAUGGCUUUUGCUUGGGCAUUAUGGGAGUUGUAGUCAACAACAUCUGGGAAGUGGGAAUCCUUAUUAGAGCGUACACUGAUCCUAACCUUUCCCUCUGUACAAAAAUGACUGUAAUUUUACCCUAACCGUUUAGCAGUAGGGGUAAGGAAGGGGCAAUAACACAGAUAAUGCUGCAAGUGCUACAAUGCCAUCUCUAGGGGGAGUCAUUGCCCCAAAACAUUAGAAGAAUUCAUCCCCCAGGGUAAUACAGAUGACCAAAAUUUAUGGGCCUGGUUCAUAGACUAUGAGGAGAAAAGUCUGACAAUAUGUUGGGUGAAAUAUACAUGUCCUUGGAGCCAGACCUCCAGGAAGCUUUUCACAUGGGGCUUUUGAAGCCCUUUAAUUCGCAUCUCUUCUAGAAUGGAGGGAGUUCAUUCACAUAUCGGCCAGAUUUACCCCAAAGUCCCUGAGAGUUAUUGGGGAGCAGUUCACACACAAUUCAGGUUUUUCACUGUUCAUUAGACAUGUAACUCAAUUUAUAUCCGGGGUAAAAAGACCCACCACUAUUUGCAUCGUUUUUUGGGGACAACUUUGAGUUUGCAGUAAAGCCUCCCUGUAAACUUACAGUAAAAUCUGCUGUGUGUAAAAGCCCCUUCCAAAGCAAAGACACAAUUAAGAAACUGAUCUGACAGAAUGGCAGACUUUUAUAUUUUCCAGUGGCAAAUCCAGUCCAAUGCAUGAUCCCUGAAGCUGCAGAGAGCUAGUGUGAUUUUGUACACAAUGACUGACAUCCUAAUGAAAUUCACUAGAGGAAGUCCUAUUGAAAUGUAGUCAUCCUUUAGAGUACUCCCUGAAUAGUACACUCCGUAAGUUAGUCUGGACAUCAGCUAACCUGGUUCACACAAUAAUUCAAAUUGAGGUUUAUUUAUUUUAUUUUAUUUAUUUAACAUUUUAUAUCCCGCUUUUCCUCCAAGGAGCCCAGAGCGGUGUACUACAUACUUGAGUUUCUCCUCACAACAACCCUGUGAAGUAGGUUAGGCUGAGACACAAGUGACUGGCCCAGAGUCACCCUGCUAGUAUCAUGUCUGAAUGGGGAUUUGAACUUGGGUCUCCCUGGUCCUAGUCCAGCACUCUAACCACCACACCACGCUGGUUCUUGUGUGAUUAAUGAGAGUUACCAACAUUAGUGCGAUUGUGUAAGCCCAGAUGGGAAUCUCGGAUUUAUCUUGGGCAUCUCUUUGGCAUGGGUUCACACGACCAGACUAAUGUCAGUAACCCACACUAUACCUAGAUUUGAACAAUUGUGUGAAUCAGGCCACUGUAUUGCACUUUACCAGAGAGACUUGGGUAAAGAUCCCUACUUGACUGGUGCUGUUUAAUUAUUUAAAAUACUACAAGGGAAAGUUGAGAUGCGUCAGCUAAUGCUGCUUACCACUUACCUUAAACUGCUUGCACAAUGUUCUAACAGAUCCUCUUCUUUUCCUUUCUUUCUAAUGUGAUGCCAAUUACUGAUUUUCAGAAGUUUGCCCAGGGGGCUGCCCAGGAAAAAAAACACAAACCAUAGCUUAUAAAUAGCUGUGUCUGACAUCAGGAUCAUUAAACUGGCUGUCACCCAGAUUGGAGCAGAACAGACAAGGGACUGUGGGAAGAGGGGUACAUGACAGGUUUGUACCAAGCUCAGAGAAGGAUGUUUGAGAACUUGGGUACCCACUCAAGGGCCAACUGGAAUCCAAAAUGAUCAACCGCCCUCGGCCUGUGCUGGAAGAUUUAAUCUCCAGGAGGUUUUACAGACAAGGGCUUUCCCCCCAAAUCCACUCCUGAUUGGAGUGUGCCAGUCCACAUAUUCGCUGGAUUUAACUUGACUUGUAGCAGAGAAUUCCACAAACUGAUUAUGCGUUGUGUGAAAAAGUACUUCCAUUUGUUGGCCCUAAACUGUUUGAGAGGAUACAGUCUGGGAACCAGCCAGCAAGGCGAGGCAAGGAAGCCGUGUCGCAUCCUGUUGGCAAGGCAAGGUCUGGGAGCUGGGGCAGACUCUCUGAGGGAGCUGUUGAAACCAGCUGGGCAUUGUGGCAGCUUUGGCAGGCUGGAGGAGUCUUGCCCUUUCCUGCUAGCCUAGGCAAGCAUUACUCUUGCCCAUUUUGGAGUGUACCUUGCUCCUCCUCCAUUGUCAGGCAUCAAGCAUCAAGGUGCUGGAUGUGCCCUCCUCUGUCGGUUCUUGCUUUUUUCACAGGCCUGGUGAUGUCUCCGCUGCUGGGGACUUGGAGGGAAGACUGGCGAAUGCAGAGGGACUGGAAGCUGUUCCCAGGUGGUCUCCGGGAGCGGCAUCCCCAUUGGCUCGGAGAGGAGGGCUGUGGCUCCUGGUGGAUCUACCAUCUGUGAUGGUGGAUGGGAAGGACACUGGGGAACUUCUGAGGCUUCAGGAGUGGGGGUUGGCAGAUCAAGGGGCAGUGGUUCAGCAAGGUCUCCCUCUGGUUCCAUCGCUUCUCGGCCUUUUGGCUAAGAUCAGGUGUAGUGUAUGCAGUGAUGUAUUCUCUCUGCCUUUGCAACCACACAUUCGUUAGUACGCGGCCGUGUUUUAUCGGGAAACUCUAUUCACUACUGCUCUUGUAAACCAUGUGUAAAACAUUCUCUAAUAAAAGUCAAUGUGUUCCGAGGCUGGUGGGCAACCCAAUUCCUGGGUGUCUGCAAGUAAGGUGUCUUCUUUUGGCAUAGCUGCCCCUUCCUUCUCAGUGUGUCACUGGUCUCACAUUCAGGACAGGUCCGGGCAGCCCUUGCUGAUGGUGGCACACCUAGUCCUUUUAAAUCCAUCCACUCCUCAGGCUCCUUGACAGUGUUUAGCGGAGGGGGGGGGGAGUAAAGACAUGGCUCUUCACCCAGGCUUCUGAAUGAAAAUAUUGUUUGUGCUGCUGCUGCUUUGUGUUUUUAUGUAUUAUUGUUUUUAAUGAACUAUUACAUUUUUAAAUAGAGAUGUUAUUUUUAUAUUUAGAUUAUCUGUACUUUUGUAUUUUAAUUGUGCAUGGUUUGAAUGAUAUUGUAGUCUGCUUUGAGAUUAUUUUAAUGAAAAGCAGUAUAUAAAUCAAACAAUAAAUAAAUAAAAAUUCAUCUUUCCUUCUG